rnacentral:rRNA from 1 species
CAAGUCGAACGAGAGUAAAGGGGCGACUCUUUACUCUAGUGGCGGACGGGUGAGUAACACGUAGGGAUCUGCCCUAAAGUGUGGGACAACCCGAGGAAACUCGGGCUAAUACCGCAUAAUCUCUGAGGAGGAAAGCUGGGGACCGUAAGGCCUGGCGCUUUUGGAGGAACCUGCGUCCGAUUAGCUAGUUGGUAGGGUAACGGCCUACCAAGGCGACGAUCGGUAGCUGGUCUGAGAGGAUGAUCAGCCACACUGGGACUGAGACACGGCCCAGACUCCUACGGGAGGCAGCAGUGGGGAAUAUUGGACAAUGGGGGCAACCCUGAUCCAGCAAUGCCGCGUGUGUGAAGAAGGCCUUCGGGUUGUAAAGCACUUUAGGUGGGGAGGAACGUCUCAUAUUUAAUAGAUAUGGGGGUGACGUUACCCACAGAAUAAGCACCGGCUAACUCUGUGCCAGCAGCCGCGGUAAUACAGAGGGUGCAAGCGUUAAUCGGAAUUACUGGGCGUAAAGGGCGCGUAGGUGGUUUGGUAAGUUGUUUGUGAAAUCCCUGGGCUUAACCUAGGAAUUGCAGGCAAGACUGCUUGACUAGAGUACGGUAGAGGGAAGUGGAAUUUCCGGUGUAGCGGUGAAAUGCGUAGAUAUCGGAAGGAACACCAGUGGCGAAGGCGGCUUCCUGGACUGAUACUGACACUGAGGCGCGAGAGCGUGGGGAGCGAACAGGAUUAGAUACCCUGGUAGUCCACGCUGUAAACGAUGAGAACUAGAUGUUGGGUGGCUUAGUCCAUUUAGUAUCGAAGCUAACGCGUUAAGUUCUCCGCCUGGGGGAGUACGGCCGCAAGGUUAAAACUCAAAGGAAUUGACGGGGGCCCGC